GGAGUCUAGCAUGUGCGCGAGUCAUUGGGACUCUUACGAAACCUAAAGGCGCAAUGAAAGUGAAGGUCCGCCUUGCGCGGACCGAGGGAGGACGGCCGGUCCCGAGGGACCGACCUGCACUCCCGGGGCGUCUCGUUCUCAUAGCGAGAAGAGGCGCACCCAGAGCGUACACGCUGGGACCCGAAAGAUGGUGAACUAUGCCUGGUCAGGACGAAGUCAGGGGAAACCCUGAUGGAGGUCCGUAGCGAUUCUGACGUGCAAAUCGAUCGUCGGAACUGGGUAUAGGGGCGAAAGACUAAUCGAACCAUCUAGUAGCUGGUUCCCUCCGAAGUUUCCCUCAGGAUAGCUGGCGCUCGCUUCUCGCGAGUCUCAUUCGGUAAAGCGAAUGAUUAGAGGCAUUGGGGUCGAAACGGCCUCAACCUAUUCUCAAACUUUAAAUGGGUGAGAUCUCCGGCUUGCUUGAACUGUGAAGCCGCGAGAUAUCGGAUCAGAGUGCCAAGUGGGCCACUUUUGGUAAGCAGAACUGGCGCUGUGGGAUGAACCAAACGCCGAGUUAAAGCGCCUAAAUCGACGCUUAUGGGAUACCAUGAAAGGCGUUGGUAACUUAAGACAGCAGGACGGUGGCCAU
rnacentral:rRNA from 1 species